ACAAGUGAUAGCUCAGUGGCAGAGCGGUGGGGCGUUUACCCAUGCGGCCCGGGUUCGAUCCCCGGUCGAUGUA